rnacentral:lncRNA from 1 species
UUUCCCGCCGUCGGGGAAUUGAACCCCCGUCUCCUGCGCGGGAGCCGAAAAUGGUUAAGCUUAACUUCCUUAACUUUCCCCAUUCAUUCUCAAUGGUAGUUCUUAACAGUACGGAUGUAAUAUAUUUCCUGCCACUGGUGGACAUUUGGCGCUGGUGGACAUUUGGCGCUGUCCCGAGUUUCCGUUAUUUAGGUUAGGUUAUUACAAUGGUCUUACCUGUCAACAACACUAUCGCGGACCUUCAUAUAGGAUAGGCCUACACUUUUUAGCUGGAUGGUAAAACGCGAUGCUGCUUCAAAACUGAAAUGGUACGUAGGAGAAUAUAUAGUAUUUUCGAUCGUCAAUACUAUAGAGAAUAUAUAGUAUUGACGAUCGAUUUGAUGUACAGUAGUCAUAUGCAACGUUAACGUUGUAUAUCAAUCUACUUUUGGUCCGUUCUUUGCUGUGUAUAGUACUACCAAUGUAUGUCUUUUAAUGUUUGAGCCAGUUUAACUUACUGUCUAUUACUAUCAGACAUCACAUCAAUCAAUGACAUGGUGUCAUUAAUUAUUAGUAUUAUCAUCUGUUUUGUUAUGUUUAAUUAUUUUUCUAUCCUCUUCUUUCCUUCUCUCCUACUAUUUUUCUCCAUCUUUCUAGCAGCCUUUGCACCCCUUAAAUUGUGUGCAGCUCCUGCAACUCACAGACACAAAGUAGUGUUUAUUUCAGCCAGCAUGAAAGUAAGGGUUAUUUUCCCGAGAAAGCUCAAGGUUUCUUUCCGGAGAGGGCCGACUGGGUAUUUGAGGCAAGACCCAUCAGUCGGGGCUAAGAGGAUUAAAGACCACCCUGACCUCCAGGACAAGUCAGCGGCCCAGAAUGAAGACCGGGUGAAAGACAAUGCCAGGUCUGUUGUAUUCAUGAGAGGGGGCGAUAUAUCAGACAAGCAGGAGGUGCUUGGGGAGUAUGUCCUGCAGUUUGGGAAAUACAAGGGAAAGUUAUUCCGGUGGCUUGCAGAGAAUGAUGUAGGGUACGUAAUAUACCUCAUCAAGAAGGUCAGGGAGGAGGAGAGAGCAGGCCAGUUUAAGCCAGAUGGUCCCAAGAAGGACAGCUUGUUGUCACUCCUGCAGUACAGCUACAGCUUCCAGGAGAUCAAGGACCUGCUGCUGUAUCUGGACAGUCAGGUAGUAACACCACCAGCUAAGGAUGACGAGGAUAACCUAGUUGGUUUUGGGGUUCACACGAAGAGGACGUGGAGGGAUGUUUGGAAGCGGAGAGACGAUGGAUUUUCUGCGUUUAUCCUGCGACAGCAGUGUACGCCAGGCAGCAAAAUGUUUAGGCUCCAGGACUACCUGAAGAGGCAGAGUGCUUCUGAGGGACGUGCUUCCUCUGGGCAUGCAACAUCGGCCUCUCAUUGCCCAGCUUUCACAGAAAUGGAGGAUGAUGAUGAGUUGGAGAGGAUGAUGCUCUCUAUAUCCCCAUCCAAACUCCAAGCGGAGGAAGGAGUUGAGGAAUGGGAGAGAAAGAUGCCAGCCACACCUAUUCCAGGCCAUCUUGGUGAGAACAACACACGCACACACACACACACACACACACACACACACACACACACACACACACACACACACACACACACACACACACACACAAACUGUCAAGUUAUAUUGCUGUUUAAUGUUUUGUAA